CUGAGCGGAGCGCGCGGCAGGCUCGCCUCAGCGCUGCGGGGAACGCGCGCGCCGCCGUCCGCGGUCGCCCGUAGGUGCCUGCACGCGUCGGGGUCACGGCCUUUGGCCGACAGGAGCGAGAAGACUCAGGAGCCGCCCCGCGCCUUCGAUCCGGCGCUGCUGGAGUUCCUGGUGUGCCCGCUCUCCAAGAAGCCGCUCAGAUAUGAAGCAUCAACAAAUGAAUUGAUUAAUGAAGAGUUGAGAAUAGCUUAUCCAAUCAUUGAUGGGAUUCCUAAUAUUAUCAUAUUAGGCAGCUAGGAUGACACAUCAAAGAAGCAAGAAGUGGAGCAGCGCUAG
rnacentral:lncRNA from 1 species